UGAAGAAAAAAUACGAGUAAUUAUAUUGAAUCAUAAGAAGAAAAGGUUGGAAAAUGAGAAGAAAAGAGAUGAAAGAUAAAUAAUGUAAAGUGAAAAAAAUAAAAAUAAAAAAGAAAUUAAAAUAAUAGAAAUAAAAAAUAAAAUUAAAAGAAAAAAAAUUAAAAUAAAAAAAAGAAAUAAAAUGUAACUUUAUAAUUACAUCACGUAAUUGAACUUAAUUCUCUAUUCCUAAUUGAAAAUUAGACUAUAUAAUUAUACCUAAUUUCACUUUCUUUGUGAUUCUCGGAUAAAAAGAUUGUUUUCGACAGAUUCCCCGCUCUUAUCAAAAGCCAACAAAAAAGGAAAAAUAUCUCUUCCAAUAUAUUCUUUCCUUCCAUCACUUUCCAGCUGUUUAAGAAUUUGUUUGUCUUUUUUUUGGAUCCAAAGCUUUUCGCUCUCAUACUUUCUCUCUCUCUAAUUCUUGAAUUCCAUCUGUCUGUCAAAGCCUUCAUCCAAAUCAGUUACUAAAAAAAUUAGCUGAAAAUUCAUAAAGUUGACAUUUGGGAAUUUGUAAAUGGACCAAACUCAUGGUGUCUAUAUCCCAUGCUGACCUACUAUUUUGAUAUGUAUGCUUAAAACUUGAAGCUUUCGAGAGCUAACAAAGGAGAUAUAUUUAGGUGUUUCAAGUGAUCAAAUGCGGUCAUCUGGAUUUACCCUCUGAUGUAUUUUUGAACCUUUGGUCGGCUAAAAAGGGAGGUAAUUUUGGGUGUUGUAUGAAAUAAUCAAUACGGUCACUUAUUUAGUAUGAUGUUUAGUAUUAUGAUGAUAUGAUACGAGCUGAAAUGAAGAAGUGGGGAUUCAUAUAGCCGACCUCAACUUGUUUGCGACCGAGGCAUAGUUGUUAUUAUUAUCGUACAAAGAUUGAAGCUUUGGUGAGCUAUUUCAAAGUGAUCAAAUGGGGUCAUCUGGUUUUUUCCUCUUGUGCAUACUUCAUUCUAUGGUGGCGUUAACUUCUGGAGCUUUAAUGAUGUUUUACAGCAACGAGGUAUUUAUAUUUAGCCACGGUAGAGAACGUGCCAGUAAGCUUUUUGGAUCGACACCCCAUGACCAAUUGAUAAUCCGAACAUCAGAUUCGUUCUCUGGACUGCUUUUAUUCGCAAUUGGUUUUUUCUUGUUCAUGGUUGCAUUCGUAAAAGAUAGAGAGUUCCAUAGUUUCUUUGCGAAGGGAUGUGUCCUCCUUCAUAUAGCUAUGGCUAUUUGGAGAAUAUACUUUGAGAGGAAACUCGAGGAGGAUCUCGGCCAUGAUUGGCUGAGAUUGGUUGUUGCUGAUACUGCUUUAGGACUUUCUUGGGUUUUCUUUCUUGUGUAUUCUUGGAGAGAGAAGUAUGAUUAGUCUUCAUCGGGGAGCGAUACAGAGAAGAUUAGCAUGACGUGAACGAAUCAAGAAAAGUGUGAUUAGUCGUUGUUACCUAUUACGCUUCCUUUGUUUCAUAUAUGGAUCUUGUGGUUGUUUCUGACAUUGCUUUAGGACCUUCUUGGGUUUUCUUUCUUGUGUAUUCUUGGGGAACGAUACUAAGAAAUUAGCACGGACCAUUGUUCAACGAUGACACGAACGAAUUGGGAAAAGUGUGAUUACUUUUUUUUUUUGCCUACUACACUGGAUCUUGUGGUUGUUUCCGACACUGCUUUAGGACGUGGAUUUUCUUUCUUGUGCAUUCUUGGAGAACGAGGUAUAUUAGUCGAUGGUAAAUUGGAACAAUACAGCGAAGAUCAGCAUGGUCUGCUCAAAUUUCGUAUCGUUAGUCUUGGUGUGCCUAUUACACUUUGUGGUUGCCAUUUUCAUUCCUUAAAGGACACAUUUGAGUCCAUGUUCACAUUUUUAUUUCACAAGGCGAAAGAAAUCGUUCUUGUUCAAGUAUCAAUCAACUACGUCUCGAUUCUGAACUAGAUGAAUUCGCCUAAAGAAUGUGUAAGUUUGCAGACUGAAAUCUGGUUUUGUUAUUGCUUGAGUUAUAGGAAGCUACUUUGCAAGUUAGAUGAUGAAACACAACCAGAUUGUGCUUCUUUACUUAAA